rnacentral:rRNA from 1 species
AGUGAACGCUGGCGGUAGGCCUAACACAUGCAAGUCGAACGGCAGCACAGUAAGAGCUUGCUCUUACGGGUGGCGAGUGGCGGACGGGUGAGGAAUACAUCGGAAUCUACUUUUUCGUGGGGGAUAACGUAGGGAAACUUACGCUAAUACCGCAUACGACCUACGGGUGAAAGCAGGGGAUCUUCGGACCUUGCGCGACUGAAUGAGCCGAUGUCGGAUUAGCUAGUUGGCGGGGUAAAGGCCCACCAAGGCGACGAUCCGUAGCUGGUCUGAGAGGAUGGUCAGCCACACUGGAACUGAGACACGGUCCAGACUCCUACGGGAGGCAGCAGUGGGGAAUAUUGGACAAUGGGCGCAAGCCUGAUCCAGCCAUACCGCGUGGGUGAAGAAGGCCUUCGGGUUGUAAAGCCCUUUUGUUGGGAAAGAAAAGCAGCAGGUUAAUACCCCGCUGUUCUGACGGUACCCAAAGAAUAAGCACCGGCUAACUUCGUG